rnacentral:tRNA from 1 species
GUGGAUGUAGCUCAGUCGGUUAGAGCGCCGGAUUGUGGUUCCGGAAGUCAUGGGUUCAAAUCCCAUCAUCCACCCCA